rnacentral:misc_RNA from 1 species
UCUCCGUUGGUGAACCAGCGGAGGGAUCAUUACAGAGUUAUCUAACUCCCAAACCCAUGUGAACUUACCUUUGUUGCCUCGGCGGACCUACCCUGUAGCCAGCUACCCUGUAGCGACCUACCCUGUAGCCCGCCGGCGGACAUCUAAACUCUUGUUAUUCUAUGGAUAUCUGAGCGUCUUAUUUAAUAAGUUAAAACUUUCAACAACGGAUCUCUUGGUUCGGGCAUCGAUGAAGAACGCAGC